UACGGGGGGGGUAAGCGUUGUUCGGAAUUACUGGGCGUAAAGGGCUCGUAGGCGGCCAACUAAGUCAGACGUGAAAUCCCUCAGCUUAACUGGGGAACUGCGUCUGAUACUGGAUGGCUUGGAUUCGGGAGAGGAAUGCGGAAUUCCAGGUGUAGCGGUGAAAUGCGUAGAUAUCUGGAGGAACACCGGUGGCGAAGGCGGCAUUCUGGACCGAUAUUGACGCUGAGGAGCGAAAGUCAGGGGAGCAAACGGG
rnacentral:rRNA from 1 species